GGGCACAUGGUGUAGUUGGUUAUCACAUCCGCUUAGCAUUGUAUGCAUACCAGGCGCUUGACUCAUAAGCUUGCGGGGGGUGCUGGGUUCAAUUCCCAGUGUGUCCA